GUAACACUCCUAUUUCUAUUAAAGCAAUUAAACAUGCGAAUAAUACAUUUAUUCAAGAAAUAGAGGCUACGCCACAUGCAAAAUUCAAAAACCAAUAAACAUGUAUAUAAACCUCAACAGUUGCAGCGGAAUAUAAACCAGAGUAAUCCGAAUAUGUACAUGUCAUGAAUCAAUAAAUCACAUCGCAUAGAUGCAUCUCAAAAAUCCCAAACAACGGGUGAUCUCCAACCAAACAAAAUCCAAAAAUAACCUAAUCUAGACCGACACAACAAGCC
rnacentral:lncRNA from 1 species